rnacentral:rRNA from 1 species
AUAGGUUAAUGAGGCGAACCGGGAGAACUGAAACAUCUCAGUACCCCGAGGAAAAGAAAUCAACCGAGAUUCCCCUAGUAGCGGCGAGCGAACGGGGAGCAGCCCAGAGUCUUAAUCAAUAGCAGUGUCAGGAGAACGGUCUGGAAAGUCCGGCAGUAAAGGGUGAUAGCCCCGUAUCUGAAGAUGCUGUUAUUGUGAACUCGACGAGUAGGGCGGGACACGUGUUAUCCUGUCUGAAUAUGGGGGGACCAUCCUCCAAGGCUAAAUACUCCUGAUUGACCGAUAGUGAACCAGUACCGUGAGGGAAAGGCGAAAAGAACCCCGGCGAGGGGAGUGAAAAAGAACCUGAAACCGUGUACGUACAAGCAGUAGGAGCCCCAUCACUCAAGUGCCUCGCACUGAGUGAUGCAAUAACAUCACCGAAAAUAGCGUAGCAUUUGCUAACAAGGUUGGUCGAUUUUUUCAAGCCGUCGCGCAGUGUACCUAGAAGUACACGAGCAACGGAAGUUAAAAAAUCGGGCAAGAUUGAACGCAAAGGCAAGCGGGACAUUUGAGGAUGGGGUGACUGCGUACCUUUUGUAUAAUGGGUCAGCGACUUAUAUUCUGUAGCAAGGUUAACCGUAUAGGGGAGCCGUAGGGAAACCGAGUCUUAACUGGGCGAAUGAGUUGCAGGGUAUAGACCCGAAACCCGGUGAUCUAUCCAUGGGCAGGUUGAAGGUUGGGUAACACUAACUGGAGGACCGAACCGACUAAUGUUGAAAAAUUAGCGGAUGACUUGUGGAUGGGGGUGAAAGGCCAAUCAAACCGGGAGAUAGCUGGUUCUCCCCGAAA